AACGAACGCUGGCGGCGGGCCUCAUACAUGCAAGUCGAGCGCGAAAGUCCGCAAGGAUGAGUAAAGCGGCGCACGGGUGAGUAACACGUGGAUAAUCUACCCUUUGGAUUGGAAUAACCUGUCGAAAGACGGGCUAAUGCCGAGUAAGCUUACGAGUUCGUGAAGUUCUUGUAAGGAAAGAUGGCGCAAGCUAUCGCCGAUGGAUGAGUCUGCGUCCCAUUAGUUAGUUGGUGGGGUAAUGGCUUACCAAGACUAUGAUGGGUACCUGGUCUGAGAGGAUGACCAGGCACACUGGAACUGAAACACGGUCCGGACUCCUACGGGAGGCAGCAGUAGGGAAUAUUGCGCAAUGGACGAAAGUCUGACGCAGCCACGCCGCGUGAGUGAGGAAGGCCUCGGUUGUAAAGCUCUGUCAUUCGGGAAAAACGGACUAUCCGGGGAAAGGUUCGGUGGCGUGAUGGUACCGAA
rnacentral:rRNA from 1 species